rnacentral:rRNA from 1 species
UGACCCGUCUUGAAACAAGGACCAAGGAGUCUAACAUGUGCGCGAGUCAUUGGGCUCUACGAAACCUAAAGGCGAAAUGAAAGUGAAGGCUAGCUUGCUAGCUGAGGGGUGAUGACCGUUCCUUCACCGGGCGGUCCGCAACCCCGGGGCGUCUCAUUCUCUUUGAGAAGUGGCGCACCCAGAGCGUACACGUUGGGACCCGAAAGAUGGUGAACUAUGCUUGGCCAGGACGAAGUCAGGGGAAACCCUGGUGGAGGUCCGUAGCGAUUCUGACGUGCAAAUCGAUCGUCGGAGCUGAGUAUAGGGGCAAAAGACUAAUCGAACCGUCUAGUAGCUGGUUC